rnacentral:rRNA from 1 species
GAUGAACGCUGGCGGCGUGCCUAAUACAUGCAAGUCGAGCGAACAGAUGAGAAGCUUGCUUCUCUGAUGUUAGCGGCGGACGGGUGAGUAACACGUGGGUAACCUACCUAUAAGACUGGGAUAACUCCGGGAAACCGGGGCUAAUACCGGAUAAUAUUUUGAACCGCAUGGUUCAAUAGUGAAAGACGGUUUCGGCUGUCACUUAUAGAUGGACCCGCGCCGUAUUAGCUAGUUGGUAAGGUAAUGGCUUACCAAGGCGACGAUACGUAGCCGACCUGCGAGGGUGAUCGGCCACACUGGAACUGAGACACGGUCCAGACUCCUACGGGAGGCAGCAGUAGGGAAUCUUCCGAAAUGGGCGAAAGCCUGACGGAGCAACGCCGCGUGAGUGAUGAAGGUCUUCGGAUCGUAAAACUCUGUUGUUAGGGAAGAGCAAAUCUGUUAGUAACUGAACAAGUCUUGACGGUACCUAACCAGAAAGCCACGGCUAACUACGUGCCAGCAGCCGCAGUAA